UAGGGAAUCUUCCGCAAUGGACGCAAGUCUGACGGAGCAACGCCGCGUGAGUGAAGAAGGAUUUCGGUUCGUAAAACUCUGUUGUUAGAGAAGAACAGCGCAUAGAGUAACUGUUAUGCGUGUGACGGUAUCUAACCAGAAAGCCACGGCUAACUACGUGCCAGCAGCCGCGGUAAUACGUAGGUGGCAAGCGUUGUCCGGAUUUAUUGGGCGUAAAGCGAGCGCAGGCGGUCAAUUAAGUCUGAUGUGAAAGCCCCCGGCUCAACCGGGGAGGGUCAUUGGAAACUGGUUGACUUGAGUGCAGAAGAGGAGAGUGGAAUUCCAUGUGUAGCGGUGAAAUGCGGAGAUAUAUGGAGGAACACCAGUGGCGAAGGCGACUCUCUGGUCUGUAACUGACGCUGAGGCUCGAAAGCGUGGGUAGCAAACAGG
rnacentral:rRNA from 1 species